rnacentral:rRNA from 1 species
ACGCACAUUGCGCCCCUUGGUAUUCCGAGGGGGCAUGCCUGUUCGAGCGUCAUUACACCACUCAAGCACUGCUUGGUAUUGGGCAUCGUCCGUCGAAAGGCGGGCGUGCCUCGAAGACCUCGGCGGGGUUUCUCCAACUUCGGGCGUAGUAGAGUUAAAUCAAAACGUCUUAUAAGCUUGGUGAGAUCUCAUUGCCGUUAAACCUUUUAUUUUUCAGGUUGACCUCGGAUCAGGUAGGGAUACCCGCUGAACUUAAGCAUAUCAAUAAGCGGAGGAAAAGAAACCAACAGGGAUUGCCCUAGUAACGGCGAGUGAAGCGGCAAUAGCUCAAAUUUGAAAGCUGGCCUUCUGGUCCGCAUUGUAAUUUGUAGAGGAUGCUUUUAGGCAGCCGCCGGUCUAAGUUCCUUGGAACAGGACGUCAUAGAGGGUGAGAAUCCCGUAUGUGACCGGCUCUGGCACCUUAUGUAAAGCUCCUUCGACGAGUCGAGUUGUUUGGGAAUGCAGCUCUAAAUGGGAGGUAAAUUUCUUCUAAAGCUAAAUACUGGCGAGAGACCGAUAGCGCACAAGUAGAGUGAUCGAAAGAUGAAAAGCACUUUGGAAAGAGAGUUAAAAAGCACGUGAAAUUGUUGAAAGGGAAGCGCUUGCAAUCAGACUUGGCUUCGGUUGUUCAACAGGUCUUCUGACCUGCCUAUUCAAUCGGAGCCAGGCCAGCAUCAGUUUCGGCGGCCGGAUAAAGGCCUUGGGAAUGUGGCUCUGCCUUCGGGGAGAGUGUUAUAGCCCAGGGUGUAAUACGGCCAGCCGGGACUGAGGUCCGCGCU